GCCCUUACGAGUAGGGCUACACACGUGCUACAAUGGCAUAUACAGAGGGCAGCAAGACCGCGAGGUGGAGCGAAUCCCAGAAAGUAUGUCGUAGUCCGGAUCGGAGUCUGCAACUCGACUCCGUGAAGUCGGAAUCGCUAGUAAUCGUGGAUCAGAAUGCCACGGUGAAUACGUUCCCGGGCCUUGUACACACCGCCCGUCACACCAUGGGAGUGGGCUGCACCAGAAGUAGAUAGCUUAACCUUCGGGAGGGCGUUUACCACGGUGUGGUUCAUGACUGGGGUGAAGUCGUAACAAGGUAGCCCUAGGGGAACCUGGGGCUGGAUCACCUCCUUAUAAAAAAG
rnacentral:rRNA from 1 species